rnacentral:rRNA from 1 species
CAGCAGCCGCGGGAAUACGGAGGGUGCAAGCGUUAAUCGGAAUUACUGGGCGUAAAGCGCACGCAGGCGGUCUGACAAGUCAGAUGUGAAAUCCCCGGGCUUAACCUGGGAACUGCAUUUGAAACUGUCAGGCUGGAGUCUUGUAGAGGGGGGUAGAAUUCCAGGCGUAGCGGUGAAAUGCGUAGAGAUCUGGAGGAAUACCGGUGGCGUAGGCGGCCCCCUGGACAAAGACUGACGCUCAGGUGCGAAAGCGUGGGGAGCAAACAGGAUUAGAUACCCGUGUAGUCCCUGUCUCUUAUAC